AUUGAACGCUGGCGGCAGGCCUAACACAUGCAAGUCGCACGCGAGGCGGGCGGGUGAGUAAUGUCUGGGAAACUGCCUGAUAGAGGGGGAUAACUACUGGAAAAGGUAGCUAAUACCGCAUACCAUCCGGUGUGCCCAGAUGGGAAUCGCUAGUAGGUGGGGUAACGGCGCACCUAGGCGACGAUCCCUAGAGGGUCUGAGAGGAUGACCAGCCACACUGGAACUGAGACACGGUCCAGACUCCUACGGGAGGCAGCAGUGGGGAAUAUUGCACAAUGGGCGCAAGCCUGAUGCAGCCAUGCCGCGUGUGUGAAGAAGGCCUUCGGGUUGUAAAGCACUUUCAGCGGGGAGGCGUUACCCGCAGAAGAAGCACCGGCUAACUCCGUGCCAGCAGCCGCGGUAAUUC
rnacentral:rRNA from 1 species